GCGUGAGAGCGCGCGGCGGAAACCCUCAACUCAGACUGAGAACUAUGAACAAAGAAUACGCGAGCAACAGGAACAGCUGUCAUUUCAACAAACUCUCAUUGACAGGCUAAAGUCACAGCUACGUCUUGUGGAUUCUAGUCGAGAUAACACUUGUGACUAUGUACCUUUGCUUGAAGACAGUGACAGAAGGAAGAAUAAUUUGACCCUUGAUGAACCACAUGAUAAAGUGAAACUAGGAACACUGAGAGAUAAGCAAUCAAAGGGAUAAUAUAGAGAAGACUUUCUGGGACCUUAAAGAAGAAUUUCAUAGGAUAUGCUUACUAGCAAAAGCACAGAAAGACCACUUAAGCAAACUUAAUAUACCAGAUAUUGCAACUGACACACAGUGUUCUGUGCCUAUACAGUGUACCGAUAAAACAGAAAAACAAGAAGCGCUGUUUAAGCCCCAGGCUAAAGAUGAUAUAAAUAGAGGUAUGUCGUGCGUCACAUCUGUCACACCAAGAGGACUGGGCCGGGAUGAGGAAGAUACCUCUUUUGAAUCGCUUUCUAAAUUCAAUGUCAAGUUUCCGCCUGUGGACAGUGACUCUACUUUUCUACAUAGCACUCCAGAGACCCCGAGCAUCCUUG
rnacentral:lncRNA from 1 species